UUAUGAAUGAAGUGGAUAGAGGUGAUAGACUUCAAAAACUUCUAACUCACGAAGGCAGUCAACAAAACGAAAGCUUUGUUGGACUAGAAGCGCUUGCUGAUGCGUUCAUUGCCCUGUAUGAUGAGUGUUCUCUGUCCACGCAAAAGAAGGAUAAAAAGUUUUCAAGUUUUCUCGAAUGGGCAAAAGACUAUGCUGUCCGGUUAAAAUACUAUCGACUCAGUAAAGAUGAAUUUGACAUUGUCAAGAUAAUAGGACAAGGCGCGUUUGGACAAGUUGCUGUGUGCAAAAAUAAGCUUUCUGGAAAAGUUUUUGCCAUGAAGACAUUGAACAAGCACGAAAUGAUCAGCCGAGCUGAGACGGCGUGCUACAAAGAAGAACGAGAUGUUCUGGUGUUCGGAGAUCAGAGAUGGAUCACGAAACUUCAUUUUGCUUUUCAAGAUACGAUAAAUUUGUACUUAAUCAUGGAUUAUUAUCCCGGCGGAGAUCUGUUGACGUUGCUGAGUAAGUACGAAGACAAGUUUCCUGAAGACAUGGCUCGCUUCUAUGCCGCAGAAAUGACCCUGGCAAUUCAUGCGUUGCACACAUUGGGCUAUGCGCACAGAGAUAUAAAGCCAGACAAUGUUCUGUUGCACAAUUCAGGUCACAUCAGACUUGCCGAUUUUGGAUCCUGUCUCAAGCUACAUGAAGAUGGUUUAGUGCAUUCCAAUGUAGCUGUUGGGACGCCAGAUUACAUUUCACCUGAAAUUUUAAGGGCACAAGAAGAUGGGAUGGGACGCUACGGAGCUGGCUGCGACUGGUGGUCCCUGGGAGUGGUGGUGUUUGAGAUGCUGUUCGGAGAGACCCCUUUCUACGCCGAGUCAUUAGUGGAGACAUAUGGGAGAAUCAUGAACCACGAGGACUCAUUCAAGUACCCAGACGAUGUUCAAGUUUCGGAAGAAGCUAAAGACCUGUUGUUGAAGUUCCUGUGCAAAGCAGAGAAGAGAUUUGGCAAGAAUGGACUGGGAGAGAUAAAAGAACAUCCAUGGUUUGCAAACUCAGUUGAUUUUGACACAAUUCAUACUGCAGCACCGCCCUACCAUCCGGACAUCAAAGGACCCGAAGAUACUUCGAACUUUGACAUUGACGAAACAGACAUCAAACGACUACAGAAUUCACUGUCGUCCAGAACUCUUCCUUCCGUCUUCUCCGGAGAAAGUCUGCCCUUCAUUGGGUUUACGUUCACAUCUACUUUUAAGCUCAAUGACAAAAAUCUCCGCCUCGGAACAGAAACAACUAGUGGUUCUCAAGAAGAUUUAGUUGACACUCAUAUGACCAACGGCUUCUCCGGUGCAAAUUUGCAACAUUUGAAGGCAGACAAGGAGAAGUUGGAAAAGAAGUGCUCAGAGUUGACGGCGGCAUUGGACAAGGCGAGGAACCACGAGAGAAUCAACACUCUGUUGAGACAGGAGAAGGUGAAGUUGAAGGAUGACCUAGAGAAUCUGUACAACCAGAUGGGCCAGCAGAGCAAGGAGCUGAGGGAGGCACUGCAGGCCAAGAAACUGGCCAGCCAAGACCACUCUGACAUGACACUCAAACUGAGUGAUGCUCAGAAAGAGAAACAGAAGCUAAUGAGGGUGUUGAGGGACAAGGACGAGGAGCUUGAGGAACUGAACGCGAAGGUGGACCAGAUGUCAACACAGCUGAGGACUGCCAAUGCAGACAGACGAAAACUUGAAAACGAGCUGGAUGAUUCAAAACUAGAACUAAACAGGGAAAAGAGACUCCGGAUGACUUACGAGGAAGAUGUGAAGCGUCUAGAGGGAGACUUGGACUCUGCGCAGGAGCGAAUGAUGCAGAGGACUCCAGGAGUGAACGAGUACUUGCAGGAAAACCAGAAGUUGAAGCAAGUGAUGGAGCAGAAUGCAGAGGAGCAUAGCAAUGAAAUGAAGAAGUUGGAAAACAGAAUGGAGGAAGUAAGCGCUGAGCUUUCUGAAAGUGAGAGCAGUCGAGCUGACCUGAAGAAAGACUUGUUGCUUCUGAAGCACAACCUGGACUCCACUAGGGAGCAACUGGUAGACCGUGAAACACGUCUGUCCAGACUGCAAUCUGACAAGUCACAGCUACUGCACCAGGUGGACAAAUAUGAGAUUCAGAUAAAGUCCCUGAUGGAGACUUGUUCGAACUUCGAGGCAGAAAACAAGAAACUCAAUCAGAAAGUGUCAGUCGAAGAAGAGUUUGAUAAGGACGUGGAGAGCAUUGCGCGAUGGGUAAAUGACGAGAAAGAAUCUCGGCAAUACCUGGAAGACCUCACACGACUUUUGAAAGACGACAUGGACCAACUGAAACAAACAGUUCUAGUUGGUGCAACCACGCCGAACAAGAGAGCAGGAGGGGGAGAUGAUAUCACGUGGCAGCAGAGAAGGAACAAUAAAGUGGAUAAAAAGGAGCUUUUACAGCUGACAUCAUCAUUAGAUCACGAGAUAAAAGCCAAGGAGGAGGUGACAAGAGAACUGAACGAAGCUAGAGAGAAGGUCAUGACUUUGGAAGAGAAACUAGACGAUUAUGAACGAGAGCUAGACAUUCUCCGCGAGCACAUGAAUUACUGUAACAAUAACAACGAGUUUUCGACCGACCCAGAAAACGAUAUGAGAGAUGCUCUAAACGGUGUCGACAAUGGAUAUUUAACAAUCAACACCUGUGGGACAGUGUCGCGGAACGUAUCCGAUAUGUCAUUUCUUCAUUUUCUUAAUGACCCAAUGGCAGCUUUGGGACAAAAAUAUCCCGAAACAUCAUCAGCUGUCGGAGCAGUUGAUUACUCGCCUAGAAUGCAAACACCUGUUAGGGAUAAUGAAGAUGCUGAAUCUAUGAAUCAUCGACAAUCAAUGUCACCGGUUGCUGAUGUAUCGCACCCAGGAGCCCCACCGAUUCCAGCGAAAGUUCCUCUAAUGUCGCAACAUCAGUUAUCGGUCAAUACCAAUGCAUCCGACUCUCAAUCGAGUUUAACUCCAAUCGAAUCUGCACAAUUUCAAUCUAGCCAACACGGCAGCAACAGACCUUUUUCGACAAAUCGAUCAGUUUCUUCACCUACAGGAGGAUCAACGAUGACAAAUCACAUGAUGAUGCACUCUCCGAGAAGUGUGACUAGUCAAACACAGCACAAGUUUGAAGGUCACACGUUAUUGGAACCCACCAAAUGUUGUCAUUGUAUGUCUCUUAUGCUGGGACUAGCGCGACAAGCUGUCAAAUGCACCUCGUGCUCUUUUAUGUGUCAUCCAAGAUGCGUAGAGAGUUUGCAGCACAGUAUUUGCCCGAUGCCAGCGGAACAAAUGAAGUCACAUCUAGGGAUUGAUCCGCAGACGGGAAUUGGAACUGCCUACGAGGGAUACGUGAAGAUUCCAAGAAGUGGGGGCGGGGUUAAGAAGGGAUGGGUGCGACAGUAUGCGGUGACGUGCGACUACAAGUUCUUUUUGUUCGAUUGUGUCGAGAAUGGCGGGAAGAGUCUGUCGAACAGUUCCAGUGGCUCAAAUAGCAGUCAGGGUUCGAGUGGAUCAGUCAGGAAGACUCUGAAGAUCACAGAAUGUAUUGAUAUGAAAGACGAGAACUUUUCUGUGAGUUCAGUGACCCAGAAUGACGUGAUCCAUGCGAGCAGGAAAGACCUGCCGUGUAUCUUCAAGAUCUGUGGCAGCAGCACCAGAGCCCCCACCCUCACCAAACACACUGUGCUCUGCCUGUGUGACAGCGAAGAGAAGUGCAACAAGUGGAUUGCGGCUCUGAGGGAGUUGUACUCUUUGUUAAACAAACACAAUCUACUCGCACCACCGGUUUUGGAAGCCAAAGAGGUGUUGGAUAACUCAUUGUCUCUCCUGAAGUUUGCAUCUUGCGCAACUCUAAUAGAUCCGAAUCGAAUUGCCAUUGGGGCCGAAGAGGGUUUGUUCUGUGUCAAUCUUCUUAAAGACACCAUCUGCAAACUGGGUGACUCGAAGAAAGUGGUUCAGGUGGAGAUCAUCAAGAGCCAGAGUGACUCCCUCCACAGCAUGCCAGACUCUUUCGUCAUCCUCUCGGGAAAGACGAAGCAACUCAAACUGUUCCCUACCUCAGUCUUGGACGGCCACGAACUAGACGUGAUCAAGAUACCAGACUCUAAAAACUGCUCUCUCUUCACAAUGGGACAACUACCUCCCCACCCGACCACAGGUCAAAGUGGGGCUAAUCUACUCUGCUUUGCUGUUAAAAACAAUGUCUACACUUUAGAAGUGUCGGCAAAAACACUAGCCGGCACUAAGUUGACUCCUAGUAAACUGACUGUGUUGCCGGGUAAUGUUCAAUGGAUGAGGUUGCUGGAUUCUGGAAAAGUGCUAUGUGGUUAUCCGAGUGGAUUCGCGACUAUGAAUCUGAAUGACAAAAUGAUGACACCAGAAAUUCUCGUGAAUCCUACAGAUCGUAGUUUGGGCUUCCUGGUGAAGAGUCAACUGGAUGCUCUGGCAGGACAUGCAACCUCAGAAAACACAUACUUCUUGUGCUUCUCAAGAUCUGGACUUGUCGUGGACAACAGGGGCAACAGAUGUUUUGCCGAGGACUUGCAAUGGCCCAUCCAGCCUUCUCACGUGGUUUUCUCUCCCCCUGAUCAUGUCAUCAGCUUCAGUCCCCAGUCUGUCGAUGUAUUUGAUGUGCACACCAUGAACUGGUUGCAGACCAUACCUCUCAAAAAGAGCACACCUUUGACAAGUGACGGGAAACUGGUUCUCUGUGGGGGAGAUGUUCCCAAAAUUGUGUAUUUACACAACAAGUCUAAACAUGGUGCUGAAGAAGUGUUCAUAACAUCUGCGGGUCUGGGAAAGUCUUUUACUUCGACUGGGUCCAUCAACGGAGGGGGAUCUAGUAGCGCGAAGAGCAGAAGAAGGUUUUCGUUCACCAAAACUAAAGACGAUGAGAGAGAACAACUUGCCAGAGCCUUAAAGAAUCUAGACGAGGACAAGAAGAGUAAACUGAUCUCGGGGCCGACCAACUUCUCCCACGUGUCUCACAUGGGACCCACUGCAGGACUACCCAUCCUCAGGGACCUCAAUGUAAACCCGCACCAAGUGACCGGAUCCUCGGAUAUCAUCAGGAUGAACAGCAUGAUUCUCUCCACUCCAGCCAGAAACAAAAUGAUGGCCAAUAUGAAUAGUACCAACUCUUCACAAACCGCAGGGCACAAUCUAGUGUCGGUGUCUUCGUCUAAUGCCGGCCAUGCUCUUCCUGUGACGCAAUCUUCUUCGACAGGAAUUUCCAGGAAUAUCCUGCCUAAUAGACCAAAUGUGAUGUCUGAAAUCAUUCAAAAUCCAGUCCCUUUUAUGGACAAUGACGAGGAGAAGCCGAGAAUAGCUCACGAAAUGUGGUAAACUGACCUUCAAUCACAAACUGAAUUGAAUGCAGGUAGGGACAAUCAGACUCUUGAAGGCGGAAGUAAAAUGAGUGAUAACAAGGCUUAAAGUAAUGCGUAAUGCUUCAAGUUCCGCCAAGCGACAAUAUUCAGAUUCCAAAAUUCGAAAACUCGGAUUUACAACGGAUUCAAUUUAUAUCCAGCGAUCUGGUCCAGUUCUCGUGACUUGGGUAUUCCAAAUUCUGAAGGUCUGGUUUAUGCGCUGAAUUGACAAUGUUGCUAUUUAUUGUAAUGUAAAUACAUAAAUUUUAGCUUAAAUUCCAAUUCUGUUGUUCGAAACUUUCCAAUAACGUUUUAAUAUUGCGUUUUUGGUGCUGGGGAGAUAGAUGCUAUAUGCACAAACUAAACUAAUAUUUUUGUGAAGAAUGUUGUCUUUAGUUUUCUGAUUAUCACUUUUGUAUUAUCACUUUUGUAUUAUCACUUUUGUAUAAUCACUUUUGCUAGAUUACAGUAGAUUAUAGAUUGAAAUAUUGUCAUUUUGUAUUAAUGUGGUCUUGAUUUCCAGAGCGAGUGCGGAAGACAUUUCUUUUUCAUACAAUCAAACUUUUUUUUUGAUCGCAAAGGGUUUGCUUUCUUUGAUCAUUGGUGCAAUAAUUAUUUCCUGCGCAAAAUUGUGUGUUAAACUAGAUUUAUUUGGACGAAAAAUAAAUUUUGUGUUUUCUCUGCCUAAUUCGAAAGUUAUCUGCUGCUUUUCAACUUGUUACCCUUGGUCUUCUUUCGUAAAAAAAAAAUAGUUAUGAACAAUUUAUUAUUUGGUAGCUAAAUCGUUUCUUUUUUGUUCAAACGCGAGCAUUCAGGCGCUGCUGUUGCUACUUUGUUGCCUUUUUAUCCUAUCCCAAUAUAAGUUUCAUAUUGAUUAUUGAA